rnacentral:rRNA from 1 species
ACUGACAGCCAUGGUUACCGCGGCUGCUGGCACGGAGUUAGCCGGUGCUUCUUCUGUGAGUGAUGUCCUUCCUGCCGGUUAUUGACCCGCAGGCCUUCUUCCUCACUGAAAGUGCUUUACAACCCGAAGGCCUUCUUCACACACGCGGCAUGGCUGGAUCAGGGUUGCCCCCAUUGUCCAAUAUUCCCCACUGCUGCCUCCCGUAGGAGUCUGGGCCGUGUCUCAGUCCCAGUGUGGCUGAUCAUCCUCUCAGACCAGCUACGGAUCGUCGCCUUGGUGAGCCGUUACCUCACCAACCAGCUAAUCCGACAUAGGCUCAUCCGAUAGCGCGAGGCCCGAAGGUCCCCCGNUUUCCCCCGUAGGGCGUAUGCGGUAUUAGCCUGGGUUUCCCCAGGUUAUCCCCCACUACCGGGCAGAUUCCUAUGCAUUACUCACCCGUCCGCCGCUCGCCACCAGGGAGCAAGCUCCCCGUGCUGCCGCUCGACUUGCAUGUGUUAGGCCUGCCGCCAGCGUUC